CUCUAUACAAAUUUCAAGGAUGAAAUUUAUUUUAAGGAGGGUGGAUUGUAAUAUCCCCAAAAUUUUAGGUGGUGAUUAAGAGUGGAUUACUUGUGGCCAUUAAAAGUUCUCUUACUUUUGAGACCAAGCUUUGGCUUGAAAAGAGAACUAAAUGAAAAGAAUAUAAAAGGAAAAAAAAAAAAAAAAGGGAAAGUUGACGUUAGAAAAAGGGAAUAAAAGGGGAUGGGGUUUCUAGAAACCCCCCUCAUAUUUGCUGCUUUCCCUUCUAGCCGAAAGGAAUGAAAGGGAAAUUGUCAAAAAGAAAAUUUAAGGAGGAGGAAAUUAGCUUUCUUUUCCUCUAUUUGUGAAGAUUAGAACAAGUGAGGAUCUUUCUUUUGUCUCCAUUUAAGAUAAGGAGGAGAAGGCCAAGGUGACUACGGAACAAGUUGACGAACACCCUGGGAGUUGAAUAUCAAGAAAUUGUGUUGAGUUCAACUAUGUUUGCAAAGUUAGAGACGUAGAGGAAAUACUAAUGUGGGAGUGGGAAGUUGGGGGAAAAGGCAAUGCUAUGCGUGCGAAGGAAACGUUGAGGUUUGAAUCCCACAUUCAAUUUUUUUCCUUUUUUUUUUCUCUUUUAUUUAUUAUAUAUAGCAUUUGCCUACACACUUUGUGUGUAUGAACAUUUUUUAGAAAAAUGAGAAGGAGAGAGGGAGAGUGAUAGAACGUGGGG